AAAAAUGUAAAUUAAAUUUCUUUAAUUAUUAGUAGUUAGGUUCUUGAAAAUUAAGAAAGAUGGCGGUAUUUUAGUCUAUUCAGAGGAAUCUGCCCUGUAAUUGAUAAUCCACGAGUUUAAAUACUUGGAGUUUUAGUUUAUAUAUCGCUGUAGGUUGAAUAUUUCUAUUGAAUAAAAAUGUUCAAGAUUUAGAGAGAAAAUAUAUCAGGUCAAGAUGUAGCUUAUAUCUAAGAAGAGGUGGAUUACAAUAAAUUUAUUUUUGGAUAUUAAGUGUAAUAAUAGUAGUAAAGUGGAUUUGAAAGUAAUUAUUUAAUAAAAUUUAAAUAAUGAUUUUAGCUCUANA
rnacentral:rRNA from 1 species